UACCUACGGGGGGCAGCAGUGGGGAAUAUUGCACAAUGGGGGAAACCCUGAUGCAGCGACGCCGCGGGAGUGAAGAAGUAAUUCGUUAAGUAAAGCUGUAUCAGCAGGGAAGAAAAUGACGGUACCUGAGUAAGAAGCCCCGGCUAACUACGUGCCAGCAGCCGCGGUAAUACGUAGGGGGCAAGCGUUAUCCGGAUUUACUGGGUGUAAAGGGAGCGUAGACGGUGGGCCAAGUCUGGAGUGAAAUGCAG
rnacentral:rRNA from 1 species